rnacentral:rRNA from 1 species
UACGUAGGGUCCGAGCGUUAAUCGGAAUUACUGGGCGUAAAGCGUGCGCAGGCGGUUUUGUAAGCCCGAUGUGAAAGCCCCGGGCUUAACCUGGGAAUGGCAUUUGGGACUGCAAGGCUGGAGUACGGCAGAGGGAGGUGGAAUUCCAGGUGUAGCAGUGAAAUGCGUAGAUAUCUGGAGGAACACCGAUGGCGAAGGCAGCCUCCUGGGCUAGUACUGACGCUCAUGCACGAAAGCGUGGGGAGCAAACAGG